ensembl:lncRNA
CCUGACAACUCAUGAAGUGCUUGAUUAUACAAUGAAGAGAGUAAUCAAGUGUGAAAAACACAGGGGAGGUACUACAUUGUACUCCAUAGCACCCCCCAGGGGCAGAACUGGGCAAUACUGCACAACACAGAGGGGAAGAAAAAUAUCACUCAAUAAUGACUGCAAGAAACAAAUUUCUACACAAAGCUGAAGCGCAAAGAAAUAAAUUGUACAUAAAAUGGAAGAAUUCACACAGCCAAAUUUAUUUAAUUCAAUAUAUUUAUAAUUUAUACCGGAUCUUGAGGUUUUAAGGCAUGAAUAAUUUACAUUGACGUACAUUUCCCUGUGACAUAUUUCUGAAAUAUGUGAAGUGCAUAUCUGAAAAUGAUGCUCGGUCAUGAGUCUCCACACCUGCGACAUUAAAAGCUCCUGUAAAAAGUAACAACAAAAAAACCUAGAGAAAAUAAAUUAGGAACUCACAAAAUAAAAUUUCGGUUUAUUGUCGCACAACAAUUUCACACAUACAUCAAACAGGCCACAAUAGAUAGCAAUUUAAUAGACAAGCAAGAAAAGAAAACUCUUUUCUUCAGCCUUGCCAUCUCAUACAAACCAACUACGUAUGGUACAACUGAUGUACAUACACAAAGUACUGGAAUGCUUUGAAUUAAACGGCUUUCGAUUUUUUUUCUUUUUUUCUUUUUUACAAUUUCAGUUGAGCUAACAUGACAUGGUCAGACCACAAGUAAAAUCUAUUUCAUAGAGAGGCUUCAACUUCAAAGCACCGUUUGGUAACCAGAGAUCACUGUCAAAAAUGGCUGACCUCCUAACAAUAUGUACAAAAAUAUAAAAUGUAAAUAAAAAUACAAACAAAUUCUCCUUUAAAGUAUUUUGUAAGAAGGUAGAGCUUUGAAGUCUUGGUUGUUUCUACAAAAUUUGCAGUUAGGUGUGUACACAGAUGCUGAACUCUACUUGAUGAUGACCACAUUUCUGUCUUCCCCCAGAGGACGAGUUAAGGAGAGGAGGGUUGGGAGGAGGUUCAGCAGGACGUCCUCUUUUAAUCGUCUGUCUUCUGCUUCUUAGUCUCAACAUCAUCCUGAAAACGGGGUCACACAGGAUUAGACAUACACUGCACAUGCGUCAGGUUGGGUGAAAACAUAUUUUCAAAAAAAAAAAAAAAAACCUCACUUCAUCAUCAUCAUCAUCCUCAGCUGCCCUCUUCCCUGUUCCGCCCUCAGCCUCGUCUUCCUCUUCAUCUUCGUCACCUGCAUCGUUGUGACAGGUUUAUAAGAUGUCAUUGAACACUUUCUUGCAAAGACACUAUGCAGUUGAGGGUCGAACUUUAAAACAGCAGGAAUAUGACUGAGAGGACCUGAGUCUUGCGGGGAUUCUGCGUGGCUCUGCGUUUGCUCUAGAAACGCGAGUGUAAACUCAGACAAGCCGCGUCAGUGUUGAACAAAUCACGAUAUAUAGGUUAUGUAUAUUAAAGCAUUCCCCCCCCCUUUUGAAAUGAAAUGUCAUCUCAAUCGCCCUGUCUCUGAAGUGCAACAUCUGCACCCCAAAUUUAAC